AGCAGAGCUCAGAGCAGACCAAACGCCAAUGCAGAAGGCUCAAGAAAGAGGCAAACAGACUAGCCACUGCUCCAGGAUGACUGUGGCUCUUUAUGAGUGAAGAGAAAGGGUGGAGACUGAAGACAGAACUGGGGACAGUGACAGGCUUGGGGAAGAACAGCUGAUUCAGCAGUCCCAAGCAUCUGAACACAAGGUGGACAUUCUCCAGGGUGACAUCGCAAAAUACAUGGGUGAAGACAACCUAGUGGCCGUGACUUGGAGCACCCUUCCUCACAAUGAAGGCAUUCUGGGCCAGCCUGAAAAACAGCAUGGAAAUAAAUCACCUAAGUACAAGGGACUGGCUUAAAAAUGGUCUAAUGAAAUGUCAAAAGAGUUCUCCUGUGGAGCUUCGGAGAAGUUUCCUUACCCUUUAAAAAAAGAAAAGAAGAAAAGGAAAAGGUGAUGAUGAUGACACACAGAAGGCAUACACAUUUCCAUUUCUCCCUUUGGAAACUUUCAUGUCUGGGUUGAGAAGUUAACAGAAAGGCAAACAGCCUGAGGUCAAAGAUGACACACUGAGGAUAACAAAAUGGAAAGACAAUCUGAGCUCUUGAUGAUGUGUGACUGAAUGAGCCAAAUUAAACAACUAUAGAGCUGUUCUACUUCCAAUCUAAUUAUGUGAGGGAUAAAUGUUAAUGCGCUUUUUCUUUAGGUUUUCAUUUAGAUUUUGUAGUUUCUACGGUACAAAUCUUAUAUUCUUUUAUUGAAUUUCUUAAACAAAAUGUUCUUUUCAGACUAUAUAAGUGGAAUUGUUUUCUUAAUUUCAUUUUCAGAUUGUUUGUUUCCAGUGUACAGAAAUUCCACUGGCUUUGUAUAGUGAUGUUUUCUACAACAGUAAUGAACUCAUUAAGUAACUCUAAUAGCAUUUUUGAGGACUCCUUAAGACUUUUCACACACAAGAUCAUGUCAUCUGAAAAUACAAAUAGUUCUUCUUUACUCCAAGUAAAAA
rnacentral:lncRNA from 1 species